rnacentral:rRNA from 1 species
CUGCUGCCUCCCGUAGGAGUUUGGACCGUGUCUCAGUUCCAAUGUGGCCGAUCACCCUCUCAGGUCGGCUACUGAUCGUCGCCUUGGUGAGCCGUUACCUCACCAACAAGCUAAUCAGACGCGAGCUCAUCCAUAUCCGAUAAAUCUUUGAUGGAAAGAAGAUGCCUUCAAACCAUGUUAUGCGGUAUUAUCAGUCGUUUCCAACUGUUAUCCCCCAGAUAUGGGCAGAUUGCUCACG